rnacentral:antisense_RNA from 1 species
CAAAUUUCUCGUAAGAUUUUGUAGACAUAAUUGUCUCCUUCUGGGAGGUACUAUUGCGGAU